ACCAUAGUUUUUUUUCUUUCUAUUUUAUGGUAUUUAAUAUAAAUCAUAUUUAUAUUAAUUCCUCCUAUGAUAAUGUAUCAAAUACAUCAAAUCAAUUAUAUCACAUAUAAUUGAAUUUCCUAUUGUUAAUUUCCACUAAGAAUUCCUAAGCAUCUUAGUCAUCAAAACCCACCUAAUUCCACCAAGUAUGAGGUAUAAUUCAUGUAGGAAAUCUAUUUGCAUGGAAGUCAUGCAAUAAAUAAACCAAAUUGAAGUGGAAAUUGGGCAUGCAUAGAAGAGAUUUUGGUUGAAAAAUCUGUUUGAAGAAAGUCUUCGUUCUGCUGAAAACUAAAAAAUAUUUCUCCUCUAUUUCCCUAAUUUAAGCUUAUUUUGAGUCCAACUCAAUCUAAGGCACCAAGAGAAUAAUAGGGAAGACCUUGUGGUGGUUCACAUCCAAAGGAAGGGAGGAUUGCAGUUGGAAUUCGUGAUUCAAAGGUAUCUUCAAAGGAUCUCACAAUCCUUGAUCUCUAUCUGGAGAAUAGCAAAGAAACUGAGUGGUGGUGUCUUGCUACAAGUUCGUGUCGUUCAUGAGUUUGGGAAGAAGCUUCGGUGUUCGUGAGUUCGUGGAAAGGAGGAGACUGCGUUGAAGAAGGUUUUCAAGAGGUAUUAUUCUCUUUUCCGUAAAGCAUGUUGCAUGUAUAUAUGUUUAUUCUAUACAUGUUGUAUGAUUUCUUUGUUUUUCACACUUUUCUAAAAUGAAUUACACUAGCACAUGUGUUCACACGUUUUCGAUGCAAA